UACGUAGGGACCGAGCGUUGUCCGGAUUCAUUGGGCGUAAAGAGCUCGUAGGCGGCUGUUCAAGUCGAACGUGAAAACUCGGAGCUCAACUCCGAGCCUGCGUUCGAUACUGGACGGCUAGAGUCUGGUAGGGGGAUCUGGAAUUCCUGGUGUAGCGGUGGAAUGCGCAGAUAUCAGGAGGAACACCGGUGGCGAAGGCGGGAUCCUGGGCCAGUACUGACGCUGAGGUGCGAAAGCGUGGGGAGCAAACAGGAUUAGAUACCCUUGAGUACGUACG
rnacentral:rRNA from 1 species